rnacentral:lncRNA from 1 species
UCUCGGCAAAACUUCUGCAAUGGAUGCUCUUAACGACUACCAAGACGAAUACGGUGACACGUCACUCAGAUAGUCUUACAGCGCUCAAAACAACAGUCAUGACAAAAAGCAAACUUUAUUACAAACUUUACAUACAAAGUUUACAAUAAAUACCCUGACGGGCAGACACUAGUCUAUUCCUACAGACUACUCUAUUGGCCUAGCUGCUCGGGCUGAUCACCCGCCUGGCCCUGCUGCCCGGACGAAGGGGUCGGGGCCACCGGCGCCUGGCUGGUCGAGACCGCAGGCGUCGACCGCCCAUCUCCCGCAACGGACGCGCCCGACAA